rnacentral:ncRNA from 1 species
AAAUAACCAUUGAUGGAGCAUAGUAAUUAAGCUCACCCAUGAAAAGAGAGGAAAUGCCUUGGGCUGAAAGCAUUUCUGCAUGUGCCUUAAUGAAUGAACACUCCGUAGGCUUCUCUCUGAAAAAGCUCAGGGCUCUAGUAGGAGAAGAACGUAGCAGGCGUUAACUGUUUAAGAGGGAUAGCUUUUUUUGAAGGCUAUUCAACUAGGGUGGUACCGCGGGACUAUAAACUCUCGUCCCUUGU